UGGACAAACCGGUCUAUCGCGUCCGCCACAUGGCUGAUGAGGAAAGUCCGGGCAACACAGGGUAGUGCACCCCGAUAACUUCGGGGGAUUGAUACUGUAAGGUAUCAAGACAGCAAGUGUAGCAGAAAAUAACAUCCUGUUUUCGGACAGGGAAUGGUGAAAACGUGGGGUAAGAGCCUACGCGUGUCAGUGGUAACACUGUCAUGGUACAAACCUUGCACGUUGAAAGACCAAGUAAACCCGGGAAUUGAGGCGACCCGUCUCAUGCUUCGGCGGCCCGGGAGGGUAGGUUGAUGGAUCUAGUUGGCAACAACUAGACAAGAUAAAUGAUAGACGCCGCCUUAUGCGGUACAGAACCCGGCUUACAGGUUUGUCCUUAAU
rnacentral:RNase_P_RNA from 1 species